ACGUAGGGGGCAAGCGUUAUCCGGAAUUACUGGGCGUAAAGGGUGAGUAGGCGGUUUAUCAAGUCAGGGGGGAAAGGCUACGGCUCAACAGUAGUGAGCCUCUGAAACUGGUGAACUCGAGUGUAGGAGAGGAAAGUGAAAUUCCCAGUGUGGCAAUGAAAUGCGUGGAUAUUGGAGAGGGCACCAAAGGCGGAGGCAUCAUACUGGACUACAGCUGAGGCUGAGUGACGAAAGCUAAUGGGGCGGGUAU
rnacentral:rRNA from 1 species